UACGAAGGGUGCAAGCGUUACUCGGAAUUACUGGGCGUAAAGCGUGCGUAGGUGGUUUGUUAAGUCUGAUGUGAAAGCCCUGGGCUCAACCUGGGAAUUGCAUUGGAUACUGGCAGGCUAGAGUGCGGUAGAGGAUGGCGGAAUUCCCGGUGUAGCAGUGAAAUGCGCAGAUAUCGGGAAGAACACCCGUGGCGAAGGCGGCUCUCUGGGACGGUACUGGACGCUGAGACGCGAAAGCGUGGGGAGCGAACAGG
rnacentral:rRNA from 1 species